CCGAUCCCGGGGCAGAUCCCGGACAGCCCCUCCCGGCUGCUCCGGAGCCUCCCCGAGGGCGCGGAUCCCCAAAUCUGCCUCUGCAACGUCAGCAACCCCGCGGGCUGGAGCGCGGCCCGCGCCGCCCUCACCUGCCCAGUAAUUCCAGGGAAUUUCAGCCCCUGGAGAGCAGUGGUCGUGGCCGUGGCCGAGGGGCUGAUCCUGCUCCUCGUGGGCUUCUCCUGCUGGUGGAGGGAGAAUUCCCAGCAAGGAUAACAGAGGUUACAGGAAUUUCCCAAAUCCCGCCAGCCACCAUUGUCCCUAAAACCCCGGAAUUCCCAUCCCGGUGGAAUUCUUCUCCUGGAAACUCCAGCGGCCACUGGGAUCCAUGGAAUAGAAAUAUCCAGAAAUAUCCAGAAAUUCUGGGGUUUUUCCCCAAGAUUCAACCCCCAGCUGCGCCUCGGAGCGAAGAUUUGGGGAUGGAAAACUCCGGAAAGUGCGGAUUUGGGAUUGGGCAGGUGGGAUGGGCAAGGGUGGGAAUUCUGUGGGGUUUUUAGGGUUUCGAAAUCUGAGAAUCCUUUUUUUUUAUUAUUUUUUAUUGGUGCAAAUACA